GCCAGCAGCCAUAUCACCCUGCAACUCACAACUGGCAGCCCACUGAAGCUCAGCAGGUGUGAGCCUGGUCAGUACCCGGAUGGGAGACCUCCGGGGAAAAACUAAGGUUGCUGCUGGAA
rnacentral:rRNA from 1 species